GAUUUGUUGGAGAACUCAAAUCCUCAGGAUUAUGGCAGGAAAAGAGAGACAUCCUUAAAAUGUCUUCUUCAGCGCAGCCAGCUGCCAUGGAGAUUUGAAAGCAGGUGACCUGGCCAAGAGAUCUUAUCAACUGAUUUUUAAUGAAGAUUGCUUUCCUGAAUGCCAAGUAUAGGAGAAAAAUGACAGCAUGGCCCAUUAAGGAAGUACCAAUGAAUGAGAGAGACAAGAUCACAGAAGGGAGAAACUUACUGAGAAACAAGG